GUGGGGAAUUUUGGACAAUGGGCGAAAGCCUGAUCCAGCAAUGCCGCGUGUGUGAAGAAGGCCUUCGGGUUGUAAAGCACUUUUGUCCGGAAAGAAAUCCUUUGGGUUAAUACCUCGGAGGGAUGACGGUACCGGAAGAAUAAGGACCGGCUAACUACGUGCCAGCAGCCGCGGUAAUACGUAGGGUCCGAGCGUUAAUCGGAAUUACUGGGCGUAAAGCGUGCGCAGGCGGUUUUGUAAGGCAGAUGUGAAAUCCCCGGGCUUAACCUGGGAAUUGCAUUUGUGACUGCAAGGCUAGAGUGUGUCAGAGGGGGGUAGAAUUCCACGUGUAGCAGUGAAAUGCGUAGAGAUGUGGAGGAAUACCGAUGGCGAAGGCAGCCCCCUGGGAUAACACUGACGCUCAUGCACGAAAGCGUGGGGAGCAAACAGGAUUAGAAACCCGUGUAGUCC
rnacentral:rRNA from 1 species